rnacentral:lncRNA from 1 species
CCGAGCACAAGUUGAGCACACAGAAACCAAACCAGCCAAAACAACGGAGUUAAAAGUUGUGAGGAAAAAAUGUUAUUAAAUUUAAAAAUGAAAAAGCAUGAACCAAGAGCAACGUUUAGAGAAGGAAGAGGAGGCGGCGAGGCCGGGGAUUUGAGGGGGCGCCGGGAGGCCCCGCUCCCGCCGGAGGCAACAGAACCGUAGCGAGCCAACGGAGGGAGAAGUGGAGUUAGUGUGAGGAGGAAGCCCCGGAUCCCACCCCUAACCCCCCUUCGCCUCCUCUGAGGAUCCAAUAAAUCAAAAGGCGAAAUGAAACAAAAUAAAGAGAAGAAAAACGCUAAUAAUCAGCACGAGAACGCCGAGGACUAGGAAAGACUAGGGCCAGUGCCUCCCCGGGGGCAGGGAGCGGAGGGUGGGGGGGCGAAUAACGUGAAAGUUACCAGAAACAUUAUUUAGCAGCGGAUUCCCUGCGUCCUUGUCAAUUUCAGAGACAAAACAAGCAGCCCAGGCUAGUAGUCUAGGCGGCGGCGCAGCGGCUGCGGCAGCGCGGCCCCAGCGGCGGCCCCGGCGGCGGCUCCUACGCAGCCCGUGCCCGCCCCGAGCCGCGCGAGCCACGGCGGCAGCGGCGCAGCAGCGGCAGCAGGAGAACCGGGGGAAUCGCGCUGCUGGGGUAAAAGCUGGAGCGAGGCGAAAGCGUGUAACGAUUGCACACGCACACACACACACCACUCACACGCACUCGCCGCCCGCCCGCUCGCACAGCGCUGGAACACGCGCGCCCAGACACGCACACACGCACGCACACACACUCGCACACACGCAGAGGCACGGGAGGGAAAGAAGCCGAUGAAUAAUUUUGCUAUUUUUUAAAAUACUGGCCGCCAUCAUCAAGCAGCGAGCAGCAGCAGAAGCGUUGAAGGGAGAGGAGGCAUCGGGACAGGCCCCUCUUAGGAGAGGAUUUAUAUCUAGCCUGGAAUGCAGUGGCACAAUCACUGCUCACUGCAGCCUUGACCGUCUGGACUCAAGUGAUUCUCCUACUUCAACCUCCCAAGUAGCUGGGACUACAGUCAUGCACCAUCAUGCCUAUAAAGAUAAUUUAAUUUAUAAUAAAUUAUUUAUACAAACAAUAACAUUCAGUAUAUUUUUCCAAGACCUUGAUAAAAUAUGAUAGUGGUAUUCUUUUCUUGCCAUAUAUACUCAACCAUUCAAUUCAACCAACAAAUACCAUGAUGAUUGUGUGCUACUCUACAUGUUAAGG